rnacentral:lncRNA from 1 species
UUUUUUUUUGUUUUUUUGCGGAUAGUUGAAUGUUGAUCCUGCGUUGCAUGUUACUUGGAUUCCUUGGAAUUCGGGCCGAUAGAACUUUUUUUUCUUUUCUCUUAAUUUUUGCAAGAAAACUUUGGAUCUAAUAAUUUUAAUCAUGACAGUACAACGAACACGCAAAUAAUAAAAAAUAUAUCCAGAUCCGUAAAUCACCUAGCGACGAGUACAAGCACUAAAUCGAGUUGAAGGCGUGCCGCCAUCAUCGCCCCUCCCACGCCGGAACCGGGCAAAACUUAUUGCUUUAGACAGUCGGGAAUUCGUCGUGCUAAGGCCCCAUGGAGCGCACGAGAACAAUCACCACCGUUGUUGAAGAGUAGCGGAGAUCGGAAGAAUACAACUUAAAGACGCACGAACAUAGACAAACUACUAACAGAUCUAAGCAAAUACAUCAAAGAUAGACAUCAUUUUUUUUAGAAUGUUGGCAGGCCCACAGACACUGAGAUAGACACUCGUGGAUUGCAAGAUUUGUGCAUUCCAAACUGGCGUGGCAAGUUGCUCCAUGCUCUCCUCCAUUCGAGGGUGGUUUGCCCGGAAGGAGCGGAGCGGCUUCUCUUUGGCACGGUGCGGGGGCUCUUCUCUGCUCUGGCGCGCACGUAUGCCAUGAGGCCACCACCCACCACAGCCCCGACACGGCUUGCAGGGGCACCGCUGUGACUGACUGCUCACGCGGGCGCCGGAAUUGCAGAUGGCUCCCUCCCCGGAUCGGCGCUGGAGCAUCCGAUGAGGCGGCUGCUUGUCCAUCGCAGAAGUAAUUACGUACUAGUAGGAGUACUAGUAAAAUCAAAUAACCAUGGAUGCCAUCCAUCCGUAAAACAGUAAAUGCAGCAGUAAGUGCGAGCUGAACCUUUGUACAGCGACUCCAUUGAACCGAGGCAUGGGCACAACAGAGACAGCAGGAGUAGUAGUAGCAGCAGCAGCACUGCAUCUGCAUUCAUCCAUCCAUCCAUCCACUCAAGGCCGAGGCGUCCGGCCGGCCAUAACCAUGAAGCGUGCGACGCAUGCACGCACGACGCAGUGGACUGGCGUGCCUCGGUUCGUGCCAUUGCCAUGAAUCUUCUCUGCGGCCCGCGGAUCGUCGGCACUGUCGCUCACGCGCCUCUCGCUGAGCGAGCCGCAUUUACGCUUUCCCUGUGUGUCCUUGCCACGCCUCCUCCCGUGAGUUGGCUUGGCUUGGCGGUGGCAUUCAUCAGCCAGCGCCCCAUGAAUGAAUGAACGAACGAACGAAAUGAAUGGCAUGCUAGGAUGGUACAGGCCGUAGAUCUGAAACAAUUCCGUAGCUGAGCUGCUACAGCCUACAGAUAGAUAGGCACGCAGGGGCAGAGAGCGCACGGGGCUAUUGACAGUGACGGAACGGACGGACGCCAUGAGGCUGAGGGCGCGAAACACAAGAAUCAGCCGCCUCACGGCUCACAGCGGGUGCCUUUCAGGACAAUGCUAUUUCAUCUUCCGCAAUAACUGGGCAUGAACCAUGCAAUCCAAACAUGAAAUGACCACUUGUAUUCCUGCCAGCUGCUUCUCAUUUCUACUACUCUACAUGGAUUUGAUAGGGCCAUCAAUUCCUGUAUUCCAAGAGGUAAAAGAAAAGGACAUUAUGUUGCGUCGUUAACCAAAGCCAAAGGAAGAAUCAUCAUCAUCAACAACAACAACUUAGGACUACAGCUGAGUCAAGUUUGGCAUCCAACUCGAAAGUCAAAACAGAGAUGUAAUUGCUGAAGAAAGACGAGCGAAUGGGAUGAGCAGCUCAAUGACGCGCUAUUCACCCAUACAAACAAAACUCUCUGGGUACAAUAAACAUGGUAGGGAGAUCAUCAACUUGGAGGGUUUGCCGGCUUUUCUCCUUAUUUCUCAAGAGAUCACUGGGGGUAAAACUCACUCUCAGGGGGGCAGGCUACUCGGAAACAGGGCACGCACCCUCGAAAGCUUCCUGCUCCUUGCGGCAGAAGUCAAAUUCAUUCGUGUAGUAAUACAUGCACCCAGCAUACGCAUCCAUCUCCUUGGGGCACUUUUGGUGAAGUUCUUUCAACC